ensembl:lncRNA
AAACGAACUGACUCACCAGCAGCUGGGGGAGGGGAGGGAGCAGGGAGCCCCCAUGCUGUGACUAACGUCGCUGCUGGCCCCUCAACAUCAUCAGUUGACUUUCUCCACUCACUCCCUUCCUGAUUCUGUCCAGAUCACAUUUGUUCUGAAGGACUUGAGUCACCUCACCACAUCCCUUUUGUGACCACAGUGAAGUCUUCAUAAAGGGACAGCUGGCCCAAAGGAGGGGAGAUCCUACAGAUAAAAUGAAGAGGAAACUUCUUUGACGGUUCCACGGUAACUUUCUCAACCAACCCCUCUCAGAGACCCUUGUACCAAGUAUCAGGGUUUGUCCCCCCCACCCCUCCACCACAGACCUGAUCUUCCAAGAGGUGCCGGCCCUGCCCCAUGGGACUGGCUGUGGCUGGAAUGCAGUAUCCAAUUACCACGUGGUCUCAACCCCCGUGUGGGUGGCUGUGUGGUGAGAACCACAGGCAGACGACAGCUGUCCUUCUGUGCAGAGUGGCUCCCCAACCAGACUCUGCGGGGUGUUACAGUGUUCCCUGAGGGAGGUCGCUUCUGAGUGCUGGGGCCACAGACUAAACAGACAAUUAAAACUCAUCUGAGUUUUGGCAGUUUCUCCAAAAGCAUUUCUACUCCUGCUUUUUUGUUUUUUGGUGUAUGCUUUUCAACUUCAAGGAACACACUUUCCUCUGCAAAGGAAUUAUACUGAAUCGCCUAGCCAUUGCACGCAGGCCUCCCCUCUCCUGAAGAUGAACUUGGCAACUGCUUCACCAUGACAUCCUGCACAUCCAGAGAGAUGGCCCUUUUCUUCUUCUUGUGCUACACAGCCUCGCUCUCCUGUAUGAAGGGACGAUGCAGUGUUCACUUCCACCAGACUAGCUCCACUCGAGCCACAGGCUCUCCUCACAUUUCUGCUUGUUUGGGUAACUCGUUGUGGAUGGGCCCCCAGGGGCAGCUUCUAUUCUAAACCUGUGUCGUCCUGGAGGCCAGAGUCAGCACAGCCAGCCUGCCUCCAAAAGUACGAGUCCAAGGCCAAAAGUAUUGAAUCCUUCUGAAAGCAUCACUUCAUCAGGUUUGCACUGGACGGAGGAACCGGCCUUGGAAGACCUGCCAUAUCUGCAGCCCCCUUUAAGGACCGGUGCUAUUCCGGUGGAGCUGUGGCACAUGGGCCAGAGCUGAUUGGAUCAAGUGACACCCGACCCGAGGGCUGCCCUUCUGUAGGUCAGCCAGCAUCCUAUGAGGUAGCCCGGCCCAGGAGCCAGUGCUGCCUGAACCAAUCAAAUUCUUCUGCUUAGGGAGUUUGGAUGCAACAUAGAGGGGCAGCCAAGUGGUUGUUAGUGAGAGAAGCAGAAUGAUAAAGAAAAGCAAGGACGGAGAGAUGAUCAGUCUGUGGCGGCAGAGGGAAGUAGGGUCAAUGCACAGCUCCUGGAGAGAAGCUGCAGAUCCAGGGCAAUGUAAAACCCAGAGGCCCCAUCACGGUGCCCCCCACAUCCCCAGUACCUACCUCACCACGCUGGGUUCCUGAUAAAGCUCGUUAAAUGGGCCCGGUGUGCAUUCUCGAAACGCCUCCUUGCCCUGAACCACCUGCCAUGUGUUUUCAUACAGGUGAGUUAGGUGUGCCGCUCAGUGGGGGCUCUGGCACCCUUCCUAGAGUUACAAUCUGUGAAACUGAGGCCCUGCGGGAAGGGUGGAUUGAUGCACAUUUCCAGAUUUGAGGCUGGGAGGAGCCACCACUGCGAGACUUUCCUCCCCAAUCAUGUCCUUCUCAGAGCUUCAGUGAGGACAGUUGUCCCUGCAGUGCCCCGGCAAGAGAAAUCCCAGACCUCUCUGUCUUUGAGUGGUAAGGACCACUCGCAAGCACCCACUAUUUCGUUGGGUCCCAUGAGUCCCCUCCCCUCAACGUCGUACUCUGCUCUGGCCGGGCCAUACAGUUCGAGGGGAGUGAAACUGGAGAAGAAUGUGUGGAAGUUUGUGGCUUUCAUCUCUUAAACAAAUAGCAAAUUCCUCUGGGCUGCGGCUGCUGGAAUUGAACAAUGAUGUGUUCCGGGAGGCGCUAAGGCGUUACCUUGGCAACACCCAGGCUGUUUUCAGGCAAGAUCUAGUUAAAUGGGAAAGAGAACAAAAAUAAUAAAGGGAAGAGUCUGGAUGGGGUCCAGGAAUGGGGGUCUUUGGGCUGAAUGUGUGUGUUUUGUGUUCUGAUGUGUUUGCAGCCUGCCUUUCAGCUGAGUUUCCUCCCGGCUCCCCCAAGCGCGUCCCACGUCUGUGAAAUCGUCUACUAGAAUACUAAUUGGAGGCUAAGAACAGGCAGCGUGCUACGUGGGGGAUGGGUUAGAAAGCGAAAGGCGUCACCACUGUGACCACCUAAUCAGGAAGCGAUGUGCGUGAAGCCUGCCAGGUUGGCUUUUGAAAUCGUGAAGGUCACGGGAGUUACUUCAAACAUGACCCAGAUGCUUGCACCUUAGGCAGUCGGCGGCGUGUACCGUGGCAGUCCAUCAGACCCUUGCCCCUCACAGUGUGGUCCGGGGGCCAGCCACAGAGCAUCACCUGGGAGCUUGAGGAGAUGCAGACGAUCAGGUUGCCCCAGGCCUACCGACCAGGUCUGUGUUUUGACAAGACCCCCAGGUGACUCACAGCACCUACCUUUGUCACGUCAAGGUGGAUUCCUAAAAUAAGGUGGCAGUCCAGUACAAAAGCAGGCAUACCUGGUUUGCUGACAACGCAUUUUGGUGUGUUUGUUUUUUAACAUUGAUUCUUUGUGGUGAUGAUGACAAUGAUGGUGCUGAUGAUGAAGAUGACAUCAGGUACUGUUAUGAGUUGACUUGUGUCCCCACAAAAGGAUAUGUUCAAGUCCUACUAACCCUUGGUACCUGCGAAUGUAACCUAAUUUGGAUAUGAGGUCUUUGCAGAUGCAAGUUAAGUCGAGGUCAUCAGGGUGGACCCUAAUCCAAUGACUGGUGUCCUUAUAAAGGAGAGGGAAAUUUGGAUACAGACACCCAGAGAGAAUAGCAUGUGAUGACACAGGCAGAGAUUGGAAUGACCCUGUCACAAGCCAAGGAACGCCAAGGACUGCGCCAAGGACAUCAGCCAGAAACUAGGAGAGAAGCCUGGAUCAGAUUCUCCUGCUGAGAACGUAAGAAGGAACCAACAAGUUGAUACCUCCGUUUUGGACCUCCUGCC